rnacentral:rRNA from 1 species
AGAGUUUGAUCCUGGCUCAGAUUGAACGCUAGCGGCAUGCCUUACACAUGCAAGUCGAACGGCAGCACGGGGGCAACCCUGGUGGCGAGUGGCGAACGGGUGAGUAAUACAUCGGAACGUACCCAGUAGUGGGGGAUAACGUAGCGAAAGCUACGCUAAUACCGCAUACGAACUACGGUUGAAAGCGGGGGAUCGCAAGACCUCGCGCUAUUGGAGCGGCCGAUGGCAGAUUAGCUAGUUGGUGAGGUAAAGGCUCACCAGGGCUACGAUCUGUAGCUGGUCUGAGAGGACGACCAGCCACACUGGGACUGAGACACGGCCCAGACUCCUACGGGAGGCAGCAGUGGGGAAUUUUGGACAAUGGGGGCAACCCUGAUCCAGCAAUGCCGCGUGUGCGAAGAAGGCCUUCGGGUUGUAAAGCACUUUUGGCAGGAGCGAAACGGCUCGGGCUAAUACCUCGGGCUAAUGACGGUACCUGCAGAAUAAGCACCGGCUAACUACGUGCCAGCAGCCGCGGUAAUACGUAGGGUGCAAGCGUUAAUCGGAAUUACUGGGCGUAAAGCGAGCGCAGGCGGUUAUGUAAGACAGAUGUGAAAUCCCCGGGCUUAACCUGGGAACUGCAUUUGUGACUGCAUGGCUAGAGUGCGUCAGAGGGGGGUGGAAUUCCACGUGUAGCAGUGAAAUGCGUAGAGAUGUGGAGGAACACCGAUGGCGA